AUGGUAGCAGUUUGGUAGCUCGUCGGGCUCAUAACCCGAAGGUCGUGGGUUCAAAUCCCUCUCCC
rnacentral:tRNA from 1 species